CAUGUGAUUGAUGGACACUUUCA
rnacentral:siRNA from 1 species